GGUAAAUAAAGCUGUCGACAGUCUCGAAGUGUUUUCCAUUCACCUCCAGCGUAUGGUCCGUUGGUCUGCCAUCAGACAAUGAAGUUGUCAUGUACUUGGUUUUUCUCUCACUGACCUUGAGACCGAACUCAGCACCACUAUCUUCAAUUUUCGCGAAAUUCUCUUUAACGAUGUCAAUGUUCCGUCCAAUUAAAUUACUAUUGUAGUGCUU